AAAUUAUCAAAUUAGCAAAAAACUGCUUAAAUUUUAGAAAUUUAAUUAUCCUUAA
rnacentral:tRNA from 1 species